GACGGAAGGUGCAAGCGUUGCUCGGAAUCACUGGGCGUAAAGGGUGCGUAGGCGGCUUGGUAAGUUGGGUGUGAAAGCCCCGGGCUCAGCCCGGGAAGGGCACUCGAAACUGCCGAGCCUGGAGUGCCGGAGGGGAGAGUGGAAUUCCUGGUGUAGCGGUGAAAUGCGUAGAUAUCAGGAGGAAUACCGGUGGCGAAAGCGACUCUCUGACGCACUGACGCUGAGGCACG
rnacentral:rRNA from 1 species